GAUGAACGCUAGCUACAGGCUUAACACAUGCAAGUCGAGGGACCGGCGCACGGGUGAGUCACACGUAUCCACCCUGCCCUUUACUCGGGGAUAGCUUUUCGAAAGAUAGAUCAAUACCCGAUAUAAUGGAUGGGGAUGCGUUGCAUUAGGUUGUUGGUGAGGUAACGGCUCACCAAGCCUUCGACGUAGAGGGGUUCUAAGAGGAGGGUCCCCCACAUUGGAACUGAGACACGAUCCAAACACAUACAGGAGGCAGCAAGGAGGAAUAUUGGUAAAUGGGCGCUAGCCUGAAACAGCCAAGUAACGUGAAGGAUGAAGGCUUAUGGGGCGUAAACUUCUUUUAUAUAAGGAUAGGUAUUAUAUGAAUAAGGAACGGCUAACUCCGUGCCAACAGCCGCGGUAAUAC
rnacentral:rRNA from 1 species